rnacentral:piRNA from 1 species
AGUAAUGGGAUUGCUGGGUCAAAUGGUA